CAGCAGCCGCGGUAAUACGUAGGUGGCAAGCGUUAUCCGGAAUUAUUGGGCGUAAAGCGCGCGUAGGCGGUUUUUUAAGUCUGAUGUGAAAGCCCACGGCUCAACCGUGGAGGGUCAUUGGAAACUGGAAAACUUGAGUGCAGAAGAGGAAAGUGGAAUUCCAUGUGUAGCGGUGAAAUGCGCAGAGAUAUGGAGGAACACCAGUGGCGAAGGCGACUCUCUGGUCUGUAACUGACGCCGAGGAGCGAAAGCGUGGGGAGCGAACAGGAUUAGAUACCCGUGUAGUCCCUGUCUCUUAUAC
rnacentral:rRNA from 1 species